rnacentral:rRNA from 1 species
AGAGUUUGAUCAUGGCUCAGAUUGAACGCUGGCGGCAGGCCUAACACAUGCAAGUCGAGCGGUAGCACAGAGAGCUUGCUCUCGGGUGACGAGCGGCGGACGGGUGAGUAAUGUCUGGGAAACUGCCUGAUGGAGGGGGAUAACUACUGGAAACGGUAGCUAAUACCGCAUAAUGUCGCAAGACCAAAGUGGGGGACCUUCGGGCCUCAUGCCAUCAGAUGUGCCCAGAUGGGAUUAGCUGGUAGGUGGGGUAACGGCUCACCUAGGCGACGAUCCCUAGCUGGUCUGAGAGGAUGACCAGCCACACUGGAACUGAGACACGGUCCAGACUCCUACGGGAGGCAGCAGUGGGGAAUAUUGCACAAUGGGCGCAAGCCUGAUGCAGCCAUGCCGCGUGUGUGAAGAAGGCCUUCGGGUUGUAAAGCACUUUCAGCGGGGAGGAAGGCGGUGAGGUUAAUAACCUCACCGAUUGACGUUACCCGCAGAAGAAGCACCGGCUAACUCCGUGCCAGCAGCCGCGGUAAUACGGAGGGUGCAAGCGUUAAUCGGAAUUACUGGGCGUAAAGCGCACGCAGGCGGUCUGUCAAGUCGGAUGUGAAAUCCCCGGGCUCAACCUGGGAACUGCAUUCGAAACUGGCAGGCUAGAGUCUUGUAGAGGGGGGUAGAAUUCCAGGUGUAGCGGUGAAAUGCGUAGAGAUCUGGAGGAAUACCGGUGGCGAAGGCGGCCCCCUGGACAAAGACUGACGCUCAGGUGCGAAAGCGUGGGGAGCAAACAGGAUUAGAUACCCUGGUAGUCCACGCUGUAAACGAUGUCGAUUUGGAGGUUGUGCCCUUGAGGCGUGGCUUCCGGAGCUAACGCGUUAAAUCGACCGCCUGGGGAGUACGGCCGCAAGGUUAAAACUCAAAUGAAUUGACGGGGGCCCGCACAAGCGGUGGAGCAUGUGGUUUAAUUCGAUGCAACGCGAAGAACCUUACCUGGUCUUGACAUCCACAGAACUUUCCAGAGAUGGAUUGGUGCCUUCGGGAACUGUGAGACAGGUGCUGCAUGGCUGUCGUCAGCUCGUGUUGUGAAAUGUUGGGUUAAGUCCCGCAACGAGCGCAACCCUUAUCCUUUGUUGCCAGCGGUUAGGCCGGGAACUCAAAGGAGACUGCCAGUGAUAAACUGGAGGAAGGUGGGGAUGACGUCAAGUCAUCAUGGCCCUUACGACCAGGGCUACACACGUGCUACAAUGGCAUAUACAAAGAGAAGCGACCUCGCGAGAGCAAGCGGACCUCAUAAAGUAUGUCGUAGUCCGGAUUGGAGUCUGCAACUCGACUCCAUGAAGUCGGAAUCGCUAGUAAUCGUAGAUCAGAAUGCUACGGUGAAUACGUUCCCGGGCCUUGUACACACCGCCCGUCACACCAUGGGAGUGGGUUGCAAAAGAAGUAGGUAGCUUAACCUUCGGGAGGGCGCUUACCACUUUGUGAUUCAUGACUGGGGUGAAGUCGUAACAAGGUAACCGUAGGGGAACCUGCGGUUGGAUCACCU